GAUGAAGAACGUAGUGAAAUGCGAUAAGUAGUGUGAAUUGCAGAAUUCAGUGAAUCAUCGAAUGUUUGAACGCACAUUGCGCCCUUUGGUAUUCCAAAGGGCAUGCCUGUUCGAGCGUCAUUUGUACCCUCAAGCUUUGCUUGGUGUUGGGCGUCUUGUCUCUAGCUUUGCUGGAGACUCGCCUUAAAGUAAUUGGCAGCCGGCCUACUGGUUUCGGAGCGCAGCACAAGUCGCACUCUCUAUCAGCAAAGGUCUAGCAUCCAUUAAGCCUUUUUUUCAACUUUUGACCUCGGAUCAGGUAGGGAUACCCGCUGAACUUAAGCAUAUCAAUAAGCGGAGGA
rnacentral:misc_RNA from 1 species